CCUUUUUUUUAAUAAUUGGUUCUGCCGUUAUUUGUUGUUGCUGAACACGCUGUUAUUGUUUGUUGUUGUUUUAAAGGAAACACCACACACACGGAAAAAAAAUUAACAAAAAAGACAACAAAUUGCCGGCGUAUUGUCGCUGUACGUAGUGCGUAUCCGAACGGGGGGGGUGGUGGUAGUAGGCAGGCGAUGGCCGGUCCGUCGAAUGACUGGCGGGCGGGGACUAACGAAGGAACGAAGGAAUUGAUUCAUAAAUAAACGGGAAUAAGCGUUCCGUUCUCGUUCUCACGUAACAACAAGCACAACCAUUUUCGUUUACGUUACGCUGCGCUGCGCCUCUUGUCGCCAACCUCCGUCGCUGCGUGCGGUAGCCGUAUUUAUCGAAUGUGGAUAUUUAUCUACUUUUUUAUUUUCUAUAUUUUAGCUGAUAUUAUGCUGUUGCAAAAAUAUCAAUAUGGAUAUUUUUGUGUGGUAUUUAAACGGACUUUUCUGAAUUCAGAAAACAGUUCGACACUAUGUUUUUGCCUUUUCCGCGGCACGUUCAUUCAUGU
rnacentral:lncRNA from 1 species